AAAGUCCAUUGACAUAUGGCUUUGAAACUUAACUUUGUAGAUUUGUUUGCCAUCAUGCCACUAACCUGUAGACAGGAGGAGGUAACUCUUUUAAGCAGUUUGACAGAAUUAUGUACCCUUUUUUACUUAGAAUUUACAUUAAAAUGUACGUACUACCUCAAAUAUUUUCAAAGUCCAUUGACAUAUGGUUUUGUAACUUUGCACAAUUGUUUGCCAUCAUGCCCCCAACCUGUAGACAGGAGGAGGUACCUCUUUCCAAAAUUUUGACAGGAUUAUGCCCAUUUUUCGACGUAGAAUUAAUUUUCAUUAAAAUAUGGGUAGGCCUACUACCUUUAAUAUUUUCAAGUCCAUUGACAUAGGGUUUUGAAACUAUGUAGACUUGUUUGCCAUCAUGCCCCCAACCUGUAGACAGGAGAAGGUAAAUCUUUCAAGCAUUUCGACAGAAUUAUGCCCCUUUUUCGACUUAGAAUUUACAUUAAAAUGUGCGUACCACCUUAAAUAUUUUCAACGUCCAUUGAUAUAUGGUUUUGAAACUUUGUAGACUUGUUUGCCAUCAUGUUUCCAACCUGUCGACAAGAGGAGAUAAAUCUUUCAAGCAUUUUGACAGAUUUAUGCCCAUUUUUCGACUUAGAAUUUACAUUAAAAUUUUGCGUACCACCUCAAAUAUAUACAAAAUACAUUGACAUAUGGCUUUGAAACUAUGCAGACUUAUGUACCAUCAUUCCGCCAAUAUGUAGACAGGAGGUGGUCUCUAACAAGAAUUAUGACAAAAUUAUGCCGUUUUUUCGACUUGGAAUUUAUGUUAAAGUUUGCAUACCACCUCAAAUAUUUUCAAAGUACAUUGACAUAUGGUUUUUGAAACUUUGCAGACUUGUUCACCAUCAUGCCCCAAACUGUAGACAUGAAGAAGAAAUUCUUUCAAGCAAUUUAACAGAAUUAUGCCACUUUUUGGACUUAAAAUUUACAUUAAGAUUUGUAUACCACCUCAAAUCUAUAUGUGAAGUCCACUGACAUAUGGCUUUGAAACAAGUUGAAAUUUUAUACACAUGUUUGAGAGCAUAAUAGGUCACUCUCCAAGGUAUGGAUUUGAAAAAUGUUUGGCCCGUUUUAAACUUUAAAAUAAAAAUAUUGUUUUGAAUAAAUUAUCUAUGCUCUUUAACAAUCAAGCACUGAGAAUAAUCGAGCAUGCUCACUUAGUCCAAACGGUAGCUCUUGUUUCUUAAUGGAAUGUCUUCCUACUUGGACACCUCAACCCUUUUGAGUUCCUCUUGUUUAUUUAUAUGUGUUUGCGAUGUAAAAGUCAUAAUUUUUUUCACUGUUGCAAAUUUGUCCGAUUGACAUAUUUACAAAAGGGUAUUUUGAUACCUAUUCAAUAGAAAACGUAAAACAUUUAUUCAAGUAGGCAAGAGUUUUAAAUCAUGAUGUCACAUUUCUUAACGGCAGUUAUUAAAUAAUUCUGCCGCCGGUAAUAUUACUUAUGUAUCAUGGGAAUCAGUAUACCACACAUGUACUGGUAAGUAAAAUAUUGAACUAAAUAAGAAUUUUAAAAUUUCGUCAAAAUGUUAUGUUAUUUAUUGUUUCAGUGGCCUAAUGGAUCAAAAUUUCAGAUUCUUUGUUGUGCAGAAUCUCCUGUCGUAUUUUAUAUGGAGCAUUGUGUGAUGAUAGAUCAAUUUGUAGAGAUUUUUUUGAAAAACUUCCUCUUGUCUUGAAAAUCAGCUAUAAUAAAUCUACAGGGACAAUGAGGACAAUCACAACUGUUUGGCUUUUUAUCCAUCAAUCUCCGGAUGAUUAUCAGCGGGAUGUUCUGAACGACAAAGAUGUUAAAGUUUUUAAAUAGUUCAAUCU